rnacentral:rRNA from 1 species
CCUACGGGAGGCAGCAGUGAGGAAUAUUGGUCAAUGGGAGAGAUCCUGAACCAGCCAAGCCGCGUGAGGGAAGACGGCCCUAUGGGUUGUAAACCUCUUUUGUCGGAGAACAAAACCCGGGACGUGUCCCGGACUGCGUGUAUCCGAAGAAAAAGCAUCGGCUAACUCCGUGCCAGCAGCCGCGGUAAUACGUAGGUGGCAAGCGUUAUCCGGAUUUAUUGGGCGUAAAGGGAACGCAGGUGGUAUUUUAAGUCUGAUGUGAAAGCCUUCGGCUUAACCGGAGAAGUGCAAUGGAUACUGGGAGACUUGAGUGCAGAAGAGGAGAGUGGAA